rnacentral:rRNA from 1 species
CAGUAGCCACGGGAAUACGUAGGUGGCAAGCGUUAAUCGGAUUUACUGGGCGUAAAGGGCGCGUAGGUGGUUAUGUAAGUGAGAUGUGAAAUCCCCGGGCUCAACCUGGGAACUGCAUCUUAUACUGCGUAGCUGGAGUGCAGUAGAGGGUAGUGGAAUUUCCGGUGUAGCGGUGAAAUUCGUAGAUAUUGGGAAGAACACCAGUGGCGAAGGCGGCUCACUGGACCGACACUGACGCUGAGGCGCGAAAGCGUGGGGAGCAAACAGGAUUAGAUACCCCAGUAGUCCCUGUCUCUUAUAC